rnacentral:rRNA from 1 species
UGGGGAAUAUUGGACAAUGGGGGCAACCCUGAUCCAGCAAUGCCGCGUGUGUGAUGAAGGCCUUAGGGUUGUAAAGCACUUUCACUGGUGAAGAUGAUGACGGUAACCAGAGAAGAAGCCCCGGCUAACUUCGUGCCAGCAGCCGCGGUAAUACGAAGGGGGCGAGCGUUGUUCGGAAUUACUGGGCGUAAAGGGAGCGCAGGCGGUUCAUUCAGUUAGGCGUGAAAGCCCCGGGCUCAACCUGGGAACUGCGCUUAAUACUGAUGGACUAGAAAUCAGAAGAGGAUAGUGGAAUUCCCAGUGUAGAGGUGAAAUUCGUAGAUAUUGGGAAGAACACCAGUGGCGAAAGCGGCUACCUGGUCCGAUUUUGACGCUGAGGCGCGAAAGCGUGGGGAGCAAACAGG